rnacentral:tRNA from 1 species
GCAUAGCUCAGCUGGAUAGAGUACUCGGCUACGAACCGAGCGGUCGGAGGUUCGAAUCCUCCUGC